CUCCUGGAAACGGGUGGUAAUGCCGGAUGUUCCAGUUGAUCGCAUGGUCUUCUGGGAAAGCUUUCGCGGUAUGGGAUGGGGUCGCGUCCUAUCAGCUUGACGGCGGGGUAACGGCCCGCCGUGGCUUCGACGGGUAGCCGGCCUGAGAGGGCGACCGGCCACAUUGGGACUGAGAUACGGCCCAGACUCCUACGGGAGGCAGCAGUGGGGAAUAUUGCACAAUGGGCGCAAGCCUGAUGCAGCGACGCCGCGUGAGGGAUGGAGGCCUUCGGGUUGUAAACCUCUUUUAUCGGGGAGCAAGCGUGAGUGAGUUUACCCGUUGAAUAAGCACCGGCUAACUACGUGCCAGCAGCCGCGGUAAUACGUAGGGUGCAAGCGUUAUCCGGAAUUAUUGGGCGUAAAGGGCUCGUAGGCGGUUCGUCGCGUCCGGUGUGAAAGUCCAUCGCUUAACGGUGGAUCCGCGCCGGGUACGGGCGGGCUUGAGUGCGGUAGGGGAGACUGGAAUUCCCGGUGUAACGGUGGAAUGUGUAGAUAUCGGGAAGAACACC
rnacentral:rRNA from 1 species